UACGGAGGGAGCUAGCGUUGUUCGGAAUUACUGGGCGUAAAGCGCACGUAGGCGGCGAUUCAAGUCAGAGGUGAAAGCCCGGGGCUCAACUCCGGAACUGCCUUUGAAACUAGAUUGCUAGAAUCUUGGAGAGGCGAGUGGAAUUCCGAGUGUAGAGGUGAAAUUCGUAGAUAUUGGAAGAACACCAGUGGCGAAGGCGACUCGCUGGACAAGUAUUGACGCUGAGGUGCGAAAGCGUGGGGAGCAAACAGG
rnacentral:rRNA from 1 species